UACGUAGGGUGCAAGCGUUGUCCGGAAUUAUUGGGCGUAAAGAGCUCGUAGGCGGUCUGUCGCGUCGGCUGUGAAAACCCGGAGCUCAACUCCGGGCCUGCAGUCGAUACGGGCAGACUGGAGUUCGGCAGGGGAGACUGGAAUUCCCGGUGUAGUGGUGAAAUGCGUAGAUAUCGGGAGGAACACCGGUGGCGAAGGCGGCUACCUGGACGAGAAACUGACGCUGAGGCGCGAAAGCUAGGGGAGCAAACAGG
rnacentral:rRNA from 1 species